UAGGGAAUAUUGGGCAAUGGAGGCAACUCUGACCCAGCCAUGCCGCGUGCAGGAAGAAGGCCCUCUGGGUUGUAAACUGCUUUUGAACGGGAAGAAAAGCCCAUGCGUGGGUCUAUGACGGUACCGUUAGAAUAAGCCACGGCUAACUACGUGCCAGCAGCCGCGGUAAUACGUAGGUGGCAAGCGUUGUCCGGAUUUAUUGGGUUUAAAGGGUGCGUAGGCGGCCCCGUAAGUCAGUGGUGAAAUACCGCAGCUCAACUGUGGGGGUGCCAUUGAUACUGCGGGGCUUGAGUGGAGUCGGGGUGGCCGGAAUUUACGGUGUAGCGGUGAAAUGCAUAGAUACCGUAAAGAACACCGAUAGCGAAGGCAGGCCACUGGGCUCCAACUGACGCUGAGGCACGAAAGCGUGGGGAUCAAACAGGAUUAGAUACCCGCGUAGUCC
rnacentral:rRNA from 1 species